rnacentral:lncRNA from 1 species
CUGGCUCUUUGAAGAUACCUCCUCUCCCAGCUUGCUCUUCUCCUCAGUUCCCCUGUGGUGGUUCAGAGCCUGCCCUCGUUCACACCUCCCCUUCACUUUGCAAACAGCAAAGCUGAGACAAUGACGACAGCCACUAAGAGAGGAAGGGCCAAGUACAAUGUUAAUAUUGCCAACCUGCUGCAUGAGGAAUGAACCAUGCUUGUAUAAAUUAAUUGGGGUCUUAAGCAAAAUCGAGGCAUGAACAUACUGGUCUUACUUGCAAAAGAGAGAAGGCAGAGAAAGGGAUCCCAGAGGUACUGCAAGCCUGUUUUGCUGCUGAGCGUUCUGUACCAUGAAACCACAGCCCCAUGGAGCACAAGAACAACAGGAGGUGUGCAUUACACUGCCUUUUCAUCUGCUGGGCAUCAUGUGGAAAUGAGAAAAGUUGGCACAGAAAACUACAGAACCACCACAGUAAACAAGAGUGACAAAGCACGGAGCUCCUGCUCCCACCGGGGUCAGCAACCACCAGGGUCCUCUUGGCUGGUGUCGACUGAACCAAAAGGAAGAAUCAGCAGGAUGAUAGUUUUGACAAAGUGGAGGGCAGAGCUCUGGGAGGCGGUGUUCUGGCCUUACUUGUAA